ACAGGCUUCCCCUAGCACCGUCUUUCACUGUUUGUGAACAGUGAAAGGGCGAUAAUGCCCUCGGAUUUUCUUAGCUUUUGUCGUGAUUUUUCCUUUGGAGUGCAGUGAAUUCCCGAUUCUACCCAUCCAGUCCACGCGUCCUGCAUUCUUUCUUUCUCUCCGUCGACUCAUCUGUUCUCCAUUUUCUGCUUUCCUCGUCUAGGUUUUCCCUCAAUAUUUUCCUUACCACGAGCCAAUAGGAGUUUCUUGGUGAAAAGAAAUUCUUGACAGCUUCCCUAUUACCAGUGCAAAAGGUCCUUCAUACUCUCACUCAUUUCUUCGUCCUAAACCCUUAUGUCCAAAAUUAUUCGCAAGGACCAAAACAUGUAGAAGUGAAGGCUUAACUGUUUGGGUCUAAUGUAUUGGAAAUGCUUCGACUGAUCAGGGGAUGUAAGGGAUGUAAGUGAUAAGGUAGUGGGCUCAAAAUUUAUAGUAUGAUGUUAGUUUUCUUUUUAAUUCUGUAUUCAUGUCGUAUAACUGCUUAAUUCAAGUUUGGCAUGUCAGUUUUUAUAUUAUUUUCGAACUUGAAUGACUUCGUAGUAUUAAAUUGUUGGUGGGGGGUUGAAAUGAAGUUGAAAAUAUGAUGUGCUUUGUCCAGUAAUUAUGUUUGCACCUUUUGAAUUUCUUUCCUUAUAUGUAGGUUUAAUUUAUUUACUACAUUUCAACCCCCCACCCACUUAGUGGGAAAAGGCUUUGUUGUUGUUGUUGUUGUAUAUGUAGGUUUAAUUUAGAAAUUCCUGCAUACUUUUUUUCUCCGGAUAGUGUACCGUGUGUGGACAGCUUCUGAGUGGAAUGGUUGUGUGUCAUUAAAUAACAUGAUGUUAUCGUGGUUGUGGGUGGGUAUAUGAUGGCCCAGGUGAUGCAACAUGAGAAGAUAACGGUUUUGUGCAGGCAUGAAUUAUGGUUUGAGAGUUCUAUUUUUUGGAUUUCCUCCCUUAUAUGUAGGUUUCGUUUAGUAUGCGAUGGUAACACAAAUGGGUAGCAGUUGGAUUAUUUGGGACUCAAUGUGAGACAUAAAGACAGAGGAGGAACUUAUUCUGUUUCUUAUUGCAAGUCUAUUAAAUUUGGAAAGGUUAAAAGUUUUUAGUAAGCUUUGGCAGAUUAAAUACAAAUAAUUGUUUAAGUUGAGAUCUGGGACCAUGGCUUCUGGCAAUCCAUGAAACCAGGUGGUGGGGGAAAGCCAUUCAGGUAUUCAAAUAUGAAGUUUCUUACGUAUUAGACCGAAUUGGUUUGAGCAUGAUUCAAGUCUCAGUACAGCUGGAUAUUUGUUUCCUCACACAGAUUUUGUGCAUACCUUGAUGCAUUUUUUUCAUAGAAAUUACUGGAUUAAUUCAUCCUGAAUUAACUUUUGUAUAAUUCCACCUACAUGUGCCUUGUUUUAAUGAUUAGUCAAUGGAUUUUGUUAUAAGUGUUACAUGUAAAGAUCGAAUACAUUGAGAAGUCACUCUUCUGUAUCUGGUCAAGAAGAAUUACAAUAACUCAUGAAAGUAGCCAUUACGUUUGAGGAAAAUUUUUACUUAUACCACAAGCCAAGUACUUAUCUAAAACAUAUUUAAUAAACUUGAUUGUCUC